UACGGGGGGAGCAAGCGUUGUUCGGAUUUACUGGGCGUAAAGGGCGCGUAGGCGGCCACCGCAAGUCGACUGUGAAAUCUCCGGGCUUAACUCGGAAAGGUCAGCCGAUACUGCGGGGCUAGAGUGCAGAAGGGGCAACUGGAAUUCUCGGUGUAGCGGUGAAAUGCGUAGAUAUCGAGAGGAACACCUGCGGCGAAGGCGGGUUGCUGGGCUGACACUGACGCUGAGGCGCGAAAGCUAGGGGAGCAAACGGG
rnacentral:rRNA from 1 species